rnacentral:rRNA from 1 species
UGGGGAAUCUUGGACAAUGGGCGCAAGCCUGAUCCAGCCAUGCCGCGUGAGUGAAGAAGGCCUUAGGGUUGUAAAACUCUUUCGCCGGGGAAGAUAAUGACGGUACCCGGAGAAGAAGCUCCGGCUAACUUCGUGCCAGCAGCCGCGGUAAUACGAAGGGAGCUAGCGUUGUUCGGAAUUACUGGGCGUAAAGCGCACGUAGGCGGACUUUUAAGUCAGGGGUGAAAUCCCGGGGCUCGACCUCGGAACUGCCUUUGAUACUGGAAGUCUUGAGGUCGAGAGAGGUGAGUGGAAUUCCUAGUGUAGAGGUGAAAUGCGUAGAUAUCGGAAGGAACACCAGUGGCGAAGGCGGCUUCCUGGUCCAACACUGACGCUGAGGCGCGAAAGCGUGGGGAGCAAACAGGAUUAGAUACCCCAGUAGUCCCUGAGCGGGCUGGCAAGGCGCAUA